UACGGGGGGGGCAAGCGUUGUUCGGAAUUACUGGGCGUAAAGGGCUCGUAGGUGGCCAACUAAGUCAGACGUGAAAUCCCUCGGCUUAACCGGGGAACUGCGUCUGAUACUGGAUGGCUAGAGAUUGGGAGAGGGAUGCGGAAUUCCAGGUGUAGCGGUGAAAUGCGUAGAUAUCUGGAGGAACACCGGUGGCGAAGGCGGGUCUCUGGGCCGAUACUGACGCUGAGGAGCGAAAGCGUGGGGAGCAAACAGG
rnacentral:rRNA from 1 species